GAGUUUGAUCCUGGCUCAGGAUGAACGCUAGCGGGAGGCUUAACACAUGCAAGUCGAGGGGCAGCAUUUCUAGCUUGCUAGAAGAUGGCGACCGGCGGACGGGUGCGUAACGCGUAUGCAACUUGCCUAUAACUUAGGGAUAACUUGGAGAAAUCCUUGCUAAUAUCUAAUGUGAUCAAAAAUUCGCAUGUUUUUUUGAUUAAAGAAUUUCGGUUAUAGAUAGGCAUGCGUCCUAUUAGCUAGUUGGUAAGGUAAUGGCUUACCAAGGCGACGAUAGGUAGGGGGCCUGASAGGGUGAUCCCCCACACUGGUACUGAGACACGGACCAGACUCCUACGGGAGGCAGCAGUGAGGAAUAUUGGUCAAUGGAGGCAACUCCGAACCAGCCAUCCCGCGUGAAGGAUUGAAGGCGCUCGACGUCGUAAACUUCUUUUAUAUAGGAAUAAACUUAGGUACGUGUACUUAAUUGAAUGUACUAUAUGAACUAAGCCAUCGGCUAACUCCGUGCCAGCAGCCGCGGUAAUACGGAGGAUGCAAGCSUUAUCCGGAUUUAUUGGGUUUAAAGGGUCCGCAGCGGACCAGUCAGUCAGUGGUGAAAUUCCAUCGCUCAACGAUGGAACUGCCAUUGAUACUGCUGGUCUUGAGUCUAGUUGACGUAGCGGAAUAUGACAUGUAGCGGUGAAAUGCAUAGAUAUGUCAUAGAACACCGAUUGCGARGCAGCUUACGAAACUACGACUGACGCUCAUGGACGAAAGCGUGGGUAGCGAACAGGAUUAGAUACCCUGGUAGUCCACGCCGUAAACGAUGAUCACUCGAUGUCAGCGAUAUACAGUUGGUGUCUUAGCGAAAGUUUUAAGUGAUCCACCUGGGGAGUACGGUC
rnacentral:rRNA from 1 species